ACGACAACAACAACAACGACAACAAGACCAACAACAACAACAAUAGUAACAACAACAAGAAGACCACAAACAACAAUAUUUCCUCAGGAAAACCCGGCUGCUGACCACCUGUGGCACAUGACUGUCCGUACACUGAUUGGACUGCUCUGCUUAACCAUCAUGAUCAGCAUCACUGCUGUUACCUGGAGGAAAGCUCGACAGAUGCAGAAACAGAAGCGAGACACAGCAGCAGAGUCUGCUCUCUGAUCCUCCAUCACAUUGAAACAAGUCAGAUACUGC